UUCAUGGUGUGGCAUAGUGGUUUGAGUGGUUUGGACUGUAAUUCUGGAGACCAGGGUUCGAUUCCCUGCUUGGCCAUGAAA